UACGGGGGGGCAAGCGUUGUUCGGAAUUAUUGGGCGUAAAGGGCGCGUAGGCGGCCAUGCGUGUCUUCCGUGAAAUCCCUCGGCUUAACUGAGGACGUGCGGAAGAAACUGCAAGGCUCGAGUCCGGGAGAGGGGGGUGGAAUUCCCGGUGUAGCGGUGAAAUGCGCAGAUAUCGGGAGGAACACCGGUGGCGAAGGCGGUUCUCUGGGCUGUUCUGACGCUGAGGAGCGAAAGCCAUGGGGGAGCGAACAGG
rnacentral:rRNA from 1 species